rnacentral:misc_RNA from 1 species
AAUUCUCAACCUUUCAAGCUUUGUUUAAAGCUCGUCAGGCUUGGAUUAUGGGAGCGUGCUGGUUCUAGAUAGUCAGCUCUCCUCAAAUGCAUUAGCAAGAUUAAUCGCUGAAUCACUUUUGAUAUGAUAAUUAUCUAUAUCAUUGAUGAAACGGCGUUUUCCUCUAAGGAAAGAUCUGGCUUCUAACUGUCUUUCGAAGACAAAUUUUGAAUC